rnacentral:rRNA from 1 species
UACGUAGGUGACAAGCGUUGUCCGGAUUUACUGGGCGUAAAGAGCGCGCAGGCGGUCGAUCAAGUCGAGUGUGAAAGCCCCCGGCUCAACUGGGGAGGGUCAUUCGAUACUGAUCGACUCGAAGGCAGGAGAGGGUAGUGGAAUUCCCGGUGUAGUGGUGAAAUGCGUAGAUAUCGGAAGGAACUCCGGUGGCGAAAGCGGCGCGCUGGACCCCAACUGACGCUGAGGCGCGAAAGCCAGGGGAGCGAACGGG